ensembl:lncRNA LINC02511 long intergenic non-protein coding RNA 2511
GAGAGUGGAUGAAGAACACAGCAGCCUGCCUCCACAGCUUUGGGUCUUCCCUUAGAUGUUGCAAGCCUUCAAUGGACUCUAGAGUUCCAAAACAGUUAUAUCAGAUGGUUCUCCCAGUGCAAUUGUUAUCUAGUUUCUAAUGUCACUGCAGCUGUGCCGUUCAAUAGUGAAUAGUCUUACUGUCAAUGAAUCGAUGUGCAAAUAAUUUCCUUGGGAGGAACUCUUUAUAAAUGACACAAACAAAUGGAAAAACGUUCCAUGCACAUGGAUAGGAAGAAUCAAUAUCGUUAAAUGGCCAUACAGUUCAAAGAAAUUUACAGAUGCAAUGCUAUUUCUAAAAACUACCAAUGACAUUCUUUACAGAAUUAGAAAAACUAUUUUAAAAUUCAUAUGGGCUAGGAGCAGUGGCUCAUGCCUGUAAUCCCAACAUUUUGGAAGGCUGAGGUGGGAGGAUCACUCGAGCUCAGGAGUUCGAGACCAGCCUGGGUAACAUAGUGAGAGCCUGUCUCUAUGAAAAAACAAAAAA